UCGCGUACCACGUGACUCAACCCAGCCCGCUUCCGGCGCGUCGCGGGCGGCUGACGUCCCCGGCCGGCGUCGCGUCAGGGCUGGCCGGCGGCGGUGGUGGCUGCGGAGGCGGCAGCGGCGGCAGCGACGGCGGCUGCGAUGGUAGCGGAGCCGGAGUGGGCUUGAGGGCUUCCUCCCGCGUUUCCUCGGGCCGACGCGGCGCCGCGGGCCCGGCUCACUCGGCUCCCGCUCCCUCCCUUGCUGCUGCCCGGGCAGACUCGAACGAGGCCCGCGCUGGCCUCCCUGACGCGCCCCGGCUCGGCCCCGGACGGCCCGGCUGCUGUGCGGAGACGAGGCCGAGUCGGUAGUGGAAAGAAAAUACUGAAGAAUAGGAUCUCAAGAUGAGUAAAAAGCCCCCAAAUCGUCCUGGAAUCACUUUUGAGAUUGGUGCUCGUUUGGAGGCACUGGACUACUUACAGAAAUGGUAUCCAUCCCGAAUUGAAAAAAUUGAUUAUGAAGAAGGGAAGAUGCUAGUCCAUUUUGAGCGCUGGAGUCAUCGAUAUGAUGAGUGGAUUUACUGGGACAGCAACAGGUUGCGACCCCUUGAGAGACCUGCACUAAGGAAAGAAGGGCUAAAGGAUGAGGAAGAGCUCUUUGAUUUUAAAGCUGGAGAAGAAGUACUGGCUCGUUGGACAGACUGUCGCUAUUACCCUGCCAAGAUUGAAGCAAUUAACAAAGAAGGAACAUUCACAGUUCAGUUUUAUGAUGGCGUAAUCCGUUGUUUAAAAAGAAUGCACAUUAAAGCCAUGCCUGAGGAUGCUAAGGGGCAGGUGAAAUCCCAGCAUCCACUAAGCUGGUGUUGUCCUAUCGACCCAGCUGGAUCGUGUAACCAGUCUAUGGGAAGUGAGGACUGGAUUGCUUUAGUCAAAGCAGCUGCUGCAGCUGCAGCGAAAAAUAAAACAGGGACUAAACCUCGAGCCAGUGCUAACAGCAAUAAAGAGAAAGAGAGAGAUGGGGGAAAAUGGUUCAAAUUACCUUCAAAGAAGGCAGAGACUUCAACGUGCAUAGUCACAGCAGAGAUUGAGAAGAAGGAGGAACUACCCACAUCCAGUGAAACAUUUGGACUUCACAUAGACACCGUUCCAAAGAUCGUCUUUCCACAGCCAGAGAGCACAUUAACAAACAAGAGGAAAAAUAAUCAAGGCAACUCAUUUCAGGCAAAGAGAGCCCGACUUAACAAGAUCACUGGUUUGUUGGCAUCCAAAGCUGUUGGGGUGGAUGGUGCUGAAAGAAAAGAAGACUGCAGUGCAACAGCUCCAGUCCUGGAGCAGGCGAUUUCACCUAAACCUCAAAGUCAGAAAAAAAAUGAAGCUGUCAUUAGCAGUUCUGCCAACACUCAGAAACCUGCACUGUUAUCCUCAACUUUGUCUUCAGGGAAGGCUCGCAGCAAGAAAUGCAAACAUGAAUCUGGAGAGUCUUCUGGGUGUAUAAAAACCCCUAAGUCACCACUUGCCCCAGAGUUAAUACAAGCCAAGGAUUUGACGCUUGUAUCUCAGCUUUCUUCAGUGAUAAAUAAAACUAGUUCUCCACAGCCUGUGAAUCCCCCUAGACCUUGCAAGCAUAGUGAGAGAAGAAGAAGAUCCCAGCGCUUAGCCACCUUACCCAUGCCUGAUGACUCUCUAGAAAAGCUUUCUUCUUCCUCUUCAGCAACUGAUGGCAAAGCAUUCUCCAUCAGUUCUCAGAAUCAGCAACAGUCUUCAGUACCAGAGGUGCCUGCUAUCGCGUAUGUGCCGCUCCAGAAGCUGGGCCCCUGCCUCCCUCUUGAUUUAAGUUGUGGUUCAGAAGUCACAGGGAGUAGAACCCCACAUCCCUCCUAUCAUGGUGGUGAAUGUCCCAGGGAAGAAAAGGAGGAGACGCCGUUGUUUGCAAAUCCCACCUCCAAAGUAGUGAGUGAUGUAAAAGGAGCUGCAGCAGCUACAGGAAUAUCGAAAACAGAAAAAAAGGUGAAAUUGGAAGAAAAAACCUCCACUGCAUUUGGUAUGGACAGAAAGUAAUCUUUAAGCAAAAGACUAAAAAGCUUGACAGAGAGGACAGCAUCUGUGUUUUCCCUUCCCUGCUAGGGCUCCUUAAGGUGCCUGAGGUCAUCUGCUUCUGUGCUUAGCAGUUAGCCAGCUUCAUAUGCACCUGCUCUCCCGUGCAUAGCUUAGACUUCUGUGUAUUCUAUGGGGAUUCUCUGGCUUUCUCUGAGUUCUUUGCUUCUGAACGUUUCUGGUUAAAACUAUGUAUGGAUAACGCUUUAGAAAUAAGCCUCCACCUAAUAUUUUUGAGACUUAAGAGUAAUGGACGCUAUAUUAAAAUAGUAAUUCUAUUCAUAACAUUCAUCAGUAUGCCUUAUUAAAAGGAUACAGACUUUUUCACUGUCUUUUCUACCUAAUGUUGAGUAAAGACUAAAAGUAAUAAAAUAAUGGGUAAUAAUAAGUAUUAUUAGGUUCGCUAACUGGAGUCACUGAAAAUUGGCUACAUCUAAUUGGAAGAUUGUAGGCUAACUCAUUCUGAGCUGGAAAAGGAGCUUGCAGAAUAUCUGUUCAGUUUUACUUUGUGGUACAAUGUUCUAAUAUACUGUUCAAACAUGCAUUUAUCUUCUUAAAGUACAUAUGAUUAAAGAAAAGAAUGCUUUCUGGAAAGAAUAGAAUGAAGUAUUUUUCUUUCUUGUUUUCUUUUAUGUAUGCACAGGGGAGGUAUUUAAAUAUGGAAGGAGUUAUGUAUAAAUUAAUUUGAUUAAUUUUGUUUCUCUUUUCUGAAGACAAAAUGCCAACAUCUUAUUUAAAUUUUCUAAAACAUUAAUAAAUUAUAUAUAGUAAUGCUGAUUCUCCAUAGUGAGGUCUUUUUAAAUUAUGGAAUUUAACUUCUUGGCACAUAGUAGGAAUUUUAGUCUAUUACGCAUUUAAAGAUUUUAACUACUGUCUGUGUUAACUUUAAGGUGUCAGGAAUUGGGAUUUUUCAACACUGCUAAUGAAGAUCCCCUCUUAUAGUCCAAUAAGCUAAGCAAGAGUUCCAGACUCAUGACACGAACAGUUUAAUUGAAUCCGUCCACUCUGGGCAGGUGACUGGAAUCACUGAUGAAAACAUAAAUGCUGCUUUGAGGGUAACCACAAAGGAGCAACUAAGAAUCACUCACAAUUAUUGAAGGCUUUCCUUUUAUUUAUUUUAGGUAAAAGGAAAGAAAAGGAUAAGGAAAAAAAAGAGAAGCGAGACAAAGAUCACUACAAACCAAAGCAGAAGAAAAAGAAGAAGAAGAAAAAGAAAUCUAAACAGCACGAUUAUUCGGACUAUGAAGACAGUUCCCUAGACUUUUUGGAAAGGUGUUCUUCUCCACUAACUAGAUCUUCUGGGAGUUCUCUGGCUCCACGAAGCACAUUUACGGAGAAAACUACAACUUAUCAGUACCCGAGGGCAAUUCUGUCUGUUGAUCUUAGUGGUGAAAAUUUGUCAGAUGUGGAAUUCCUGGAUGACUCUUCCACAGAGAGCCUGCUUCUGAGUGGGGAUGAGUACAACCAAGACUUUGAUUCAACUAAUUUUGAGGAGUCUCAGGAUGAAGACGAUGCUCUUAAUGAGAUUGUACGCUGUAUCUGUGAACUGGAUGAGGAGAAUGGCUUCAUGAUCCAGUGUGAAGAGUGCCUAUGCUGGCAGCACAGUGUGUGCAUGGGGCUCCUGGAGGACAGCAUUCCGGAGCAGUACAUCUGCUACAUCUGUCGGGACCCUCCGGGUGAGGCCCUCCGCCCCGUGUGGGUUGUGUGACGCGGACUCCAGAGUAUGGCCACUGUGUAGAGCACCUGCACUUCUUGGUCAGAGAUGGAGUGCAAAAUAUCGUUAUGAUAAGGAGUGGUUGAAUAAUGGAAGAAUGUAUGGGUUAUCUUUUUUAAAAGAAAAUUAUUCUCAUCUCAAUGCCAAAAAAAUAGUUUCCACACAUCAUCUUCUUGCUGAUGUCUAUGGUGUAACUGAAGUACUGCAUGGAUUACAGCUUAAGAUUGGAAUACUAAAGAAUAAACAUCAUCCUGACCUUCAUCUCUGGGCUUAUUCUGGGAAGAGGAAAGACCAAGAUCAGGCAGUAGCUGAAGCAGAGAGAAAAAUAACACCUCAGGACAGAGCUAACUCAGAGGGGAAGGAGUGUGUACAGAACCACAAGGAACCAGCCCUGAGAAUGGAAGAAACUUACAUAACAAGCGAGCACAGCUAUCAAAAGCCACAAAGCUUUAGUCAGGACUGCCAGUCUCUCACAGACCCUGGAAGCUCAGAUGAUGAUGAUGCUAGCAGUUUUGAAGAAGAUGGGGAGCUCCGUGUGCCAGAUAAAAGCCAUCUUCUGUACAAAAAUCGGGGAGUGUCAGAGAAGAAUCCAGCUUCAGGGAAUAAAGUGUUUGUUUAUAAUGAUAAAAAGGGCACGGAGGGCCCAGGAGACUCGCAUCUUCAGUGGCAGCUAAAUCUCCUCACGCACAUAGAAAAUGUGCAGAAUGAAGUCACCAGCAGGAUGGACCUCAUAGAAAAAGAAGUGGACGUUCUGGAAAGCUGGCUUGAUUUCACAGGGGAGUUGGAGCCACCAGAUCCCCUUGCAAGACUGCCCCAACUUAAACGUCACUUAAAACAACUCUUACUUGACGUGGGCAAAGUACAACAAAUUGCAACUCUUUGCUCUGUAUAACAACAGAAAAAACUUGGUGACAAGAAUAUGUCUUUCUUCAGUUGAAUCACUUUUAUUCCUAAGUGGAUAGUCAAAAAGCUUAAUAUUUGGUCAUUUACUGAUUUGUGACAUCAAUAAUAUGGCAUCUUGGAAAGAAAAUGAAGAAUAAGUUUAUCAAAGAAGCUAACAUUAAAGAUGAUACAAAUGAUACAAAGCUACAAAUGAUAAUGUAACCUAUGCCAAGAAUCAAUGAGGAUAAUGCAAGCUGCACUAAAGAAAUGGAAUGGAAUUGGCAAGAUACUUGUAGUUGCUUUCGUGAAACUCAAGCUAACCAUAAAAAGAAUUAUGAUGUAUUUAUAUAGUUUUAGAAGAGAUACCCAUGUUUAUAAACCAGCAUUUGGCCAAAAUCACACUGUAAGGAAAUUGAAGUUGUGGAGAGUUCUACAAGAUUGCUCUAAGAAUUGCCUUCUAGCAGUUGGAUCCAGCUGCAAAGAAACUUAGAUUAUUUAAACUUCUGUAGGAUCAUGAAUUACUUCUUGGGUGAUGAAUGUAUUUUAAUCAGAAAACUGACAAUGGAAGUCUCACUUUGGGGAAAAUAAUUGUGGAAUUCUAACUUCAUUAUGAAUGUAUUUUAAGAAACCCACCAAAUAAUUGGAAUUUAUUGCGGGCAUUGUGCUCUUUAAAAGUAAAGUGGCUUGCAGAAGGGCCCAAUGUGCCAAAUGUUGAUACUGCUGGAAAGAGGAUUUGAAUAUUGCAGGAAUCCUUCCACCUGCCAUAAGCAAUGCCAUUAACCCAUACAAACCUGUGCGCCACAUACUGGGUGUGCUCUGUGUAGGGGAGUCAUGGUAUCCAGACUUCAGCCUACACUUGAUCCUGGAUACACUUGGUGUUUGUUUGCCUUUUGAAAAAAAACUAAACCUCAGCUGGGAUGAGGAGUGACAAAAAUAUCAAAAUAAUCUGUUGCUGUGGAUUUUUUUUUUUUAACUGCUAGUAGUGGAAUACUGGAAAGGCUUCAUUUCUGAAGACAAAUUUUAUUUUAAAAUAUAAAUAUACACUCACAAAUUUUAGCUUUGUUCACAAAUGGACAGAUUUAUGAAACCAAAGGCAACUAAGUUGCUUACUCAGCUCUUGCUGGAUUUUUGAGCCUAGGUCCUACUGUCUGCCAGUCCUGGUGUGUGUUGUGUGCACGCCACAGUGCUACAUGUGCAGGUAUGCAUAAGUGAGUAUGCUUGAUUAAGUAGUCAACAUACAUAUGUACAUAAUCAACAUAUUUAUAUCACACAUAUCUAGUUUUAUUACUAUAGAUUAUACAAAUUGAUGGUUAACAUAAAAUGUUACCUUUUAACAGACUGUUUUUAAAAACUAAAAGUGUAUGUACAGGUUUUGAAAUUUUUUUAAAAAGGGGAAGGAAAGACUUAAGAGGAGGCUAUUUGAUGACAUUACACUUGAAUAUUUUUUGCCUCAUUCUGUUUAUCAGUUCUAGAAAUCUGUAUAAAGGCACUUAGAACUGAUAGACAGUGAACUUGAAUUUAUCUUUGAUAAGAAUACAUGCCACUGUACAUUCAGAUAUUAUUUAAAGUUGCAAAACACACUGUUCUUUAUGUAAGGUACUGUAUGUAAAACUCUAUUAAAACUGUUCCACAUACCCUAAAAUUUCAGCUUGCCUUUUUGUGGCCUUAUGUUUUGAUGUGAGGAUUAAAAGAAUGUGUAACACAUUGAGGAAUUUUUAUUGCCUUUUGAGAUUUUUUCAACUGACAAAUGUGCCAAAGAUCACCAUACAUAAAAUGUAGUCCUCUGUAUUUACUGUAUUUGUGAUACCUGAACUUUGUCAAAGAGCCUACUGAUGAAUGCUUUAGCAGAAGUCAUUGUGGGGUAGUUAUUAAAUUUGCAUAUUAAAGUAAAAAUUAGUGCCUGUAACCCAUGUGUGGAGUAAAUUUACUAAUGUUUGUGUUUCAAGAUUGAUACUAUAUUGUUCAUUUAUGUUUUAAAAUGAUGGCUUUAAAUUUUCCCAUCAUGACUGAACCCUAGAUGUUGAAUUUGCGUCUUCUUUUCAGAAAUGUAGCCAAUAAUGUCCUUAGUCUGUAAAUAGUGUUGUUACCUUGGUUCUUAUCAUAUAUGCAGAAGAACUCUGCGUUCAGAACUCAGAAGAAUUCAGUUCUGGUCACCUUGAUUAAAAUAAUGCACAGUAUUAUAGUACAGACUCAGUGUUCCCACACAAAGUCUGAAAUGUUCCAUGUGUGGAGUACGGACUCCCCUAGUGGAAAGUUCAUACCUUAUUUCAUGUAAGCAGGAUCACUGUCAAAAUACAGGCUCACUAAAAAUGCAGUAUACAACAUAUUCAAGAUACGAGUUUAAAUUGUAUACAAAAAGGAGUGAAGUUCACGGUUAGACUUAAGUCUCAUGCCAAGAAUGUGUCAUGAUAAAAUACAAAGACUCCAAUAUCCAAGAAAACACAAAAUCCAAAAUAUUUUUCUUCCCAAGCAUUUCCAAUAAUGAACACUAAGCUUCUGUCUUAAAAUAUAAUCACUUUGAUAGCAACUAGGAAAUUGAGUACUUCAUUGAUUUUAUGUUAAAUGUCCCACUCUGCUUAUUUGUCAAGGAAUGAAAAGGCUAAUUCUUAAAUUUAGGUCUUUAAAGAAUAUAUCAGAUUAUACGCACAUACCCAGUUACUAUAGAACCAACCAAUAAUUGGUUAAGGCCUAUUAUCAGGUAGAGGGCAGCACAUUUCUUUGAGAGAAUGAAUUAACUUUGGAGAAGCAAAUAUGUUGUGAGAAGUAUCAGGUAAGAUUUAUUUUUCCUUUUAUUCUUACCUAAAAUCAUUGUUUUGAAUUCUAAGCAAUGAACUGGAGAGGGUAUUUUCUUCAAUGAUAAUGUUUUGUUUGUCAGAUGGACAAAAGAGAAUGAGCCUCAGUGGAGGGAUUCCUCCUCAUAAUUUCUGGCAGAUAUAAUUUGUACUUCUUUUUGGUUGUCUAUGGUUCAACUGACUGUUGAAGUAAUGUAUUUUCUCCUUAAAGGAACUUGUUAUUCUUAGAAUUUCAGGUAAAUCACCUUUUCCCAAGUUGUUUCAAGUCAAUGUUCAUACUCAAAUGUGUAUACUUUUCAUGUUAAAACUGAAGCAUACUACUUCCUCCCCAAUAAACUGAAUCUGCUGCCAUUGUCACUGUCUUGGUUAAUAGCAUCCUAUCAGUAUAUGAUUAACACACAGAGUCAGCACUUAGUAGUCAUUUCAGCACCACAUAAGUGUUUUCUCAAAACAGUGAUGAUGUCUUCUUCAGGCCUGUUGAGAGCCCAUUGUAAGUCAUGGAGGUAAUGAGUCAGUUUUACUUACCUCUUUCAUUCCAGCUUUGUUUUCAUUCUGACUCUUCAGAUUGUCACUGCCAGACUAGAGAAUUACGUUUAAUCAGCUCUAUGCUAGGCAUCAUAAUACCUCCUAUGGUAGAUGAAUUAAUUCUUUCAGAGGACAGGUAAGAGUAAUAAUCACUUUCUAAAUAUGCAUGGAAAGGUUUAUGCAUACACUCAGACAUAUAUCCUGGAUGAGAAGUGAGUUUUUGUUGUCUGUACCACAAGUGUUCCUUGGCUAUUCUUGUCAUUUUAAUUUUCUACUGUGAAACCCUAAGGGAAUAAUUCAUUGUUGUAUCUGUGUGGUAUGGAAUGUGUCCAAGCUGACCUAGUUUGUUCUCACAUUCAUGGCAAUGUAGCCUGACUGUUAGGAGUGUGCUUAUUUCCGUCUCUUACCUUCAUAUCACUUCUCUGUGUGAAAGAUCCUCACUUGUUUAUAUAUCUAUAAGUCCAGAUACUUUGUCUUGACUAUCUCUUUCUAAAAGAAUUCAUUACCAAAGGCUCCUGUAUUGAAUCAAACUGGAGAGGAAUUCUGUUACCGAGUAAUAACUUGCUAUACGGAAACAGACACAGAUUGGUAAUCUCAGAUUUCCUUGUAAUUAAUUUACUAGCAGUAUGAUACCCUGAGCUUUGGUUUACUUGUCUAUAAAUGAUGACAUACCAACUUGGAACUUUGCUUUGAGACUUAAAUUAUCAAGAAGCAUAAUACAUGAACUCGAUAUCACCUAUCACUGAGUGUCAUCUAUGUGCAGGCCAUGAAAUUAGCAUGGUUAGAGUUGGAUAGAGGAUAAGAUCAUGUUCCAUAGGCUAAUGGAGACAGUAACAUUUUCUAGUGAGAGCCCAACCAAAGAGACCUUUCUUUAAAGGAAGAUAAUUAUACUUGAAUGUGGUGGAGCAGGGAGAAUAGAUAUAUAUUCGUUGAAACAGUGUUCUCUUAAAUUUGACUAGAACAUCCAGAAAAAUUUAAGACUUUGAAAUUCCUAGUCUUUGUUCUCUCUAAACUAGAGCCCAAGGAAAGACUUCUGAGUGUACUUAGUUCAUUAGAAACAAAAUCGAACAACUCAGUAGCAGGAGGGAAGUGAGGGAACGGAAGAGGGGAGGAGAAAGCAAAUAAGCAGAAGGAUUGCUGUGAGCAAUGGGGUUUGGAUUCUGCCUUUUUAAAUCCUACAUACAGUAUGUAAUUUCCAAGUUGUAAAUAUUAACAUUAUAUCUAAUCACAUAGAACAUUUUAAAAUGCAUGUGGUUGAAUCUGAUGCAUCAUGGUUGUUUUGUUGUUUACCAACAUUUUUUUAAAGGACAUAGGCAGAAUUUUGAAGUAACAUGACAAACUAGAAGCUUCCUACAUGUCUCCUUAUAAAUAAGUCAGAAUAAGGAGAAAUGGAUGCUAUCCAAUAGAGAACCAUGGAAAUCCAUGUAAUGAUAGAUGAGUUAAAAGCCUGUAGGAAAAGGUGGAGCAUGCUGAAAAGUAUUUAGCAGCAGCACAGCUUCCUGAUAAGGAGACGGAAAGCAGAAGUUUCAUUUUCUUAGGUACUUUUAUAUAUCCCGUGUCUUAAUUAAAAAAAAUUUUAAGGUCAAAAUGAGUAUUGCCCUAAAAUUUAAAGAUCUCAAAUCUUACAAUUUUAAGUUUACCUUGUUAAAAAAAAAUUAAUAAUCAUUGUUAAUUAAAUUGGAUUUUUGUUAUUGUUGAUUUUAUACUUGCCUUUGGUCUGCUAAAUUAUCAGUCACUGGAAUUGGAGGUGAUUAAAGAAAGCUCACAAAAACCUAAAAAAAAAAAAAAAAAAAAAA